rnacentral:lncRNA from 1 species
CAGAUUCAGAGCCCCAGCCUGUUCAUAAAAAAAAUCAGAUGAAUUUUGUCUGCGGAACAUUCUGCAAAAAUAUCUGACCAGGAAAGAUAAAUAAGAUGCAAAAAGUCACACACACAGGAAAUGAUUAAUACAAUUUUAUGGCAUCAAAAGAUACCAUCGAUAAAGUAAAACACAAGUCACGAACUAGGGGAAAGAAGAUGAGGUAACAUCCAAAAUACAUGAAGAAAUCUUGUAAGUCUAUUAAAAGACUAUACGACCUAACAGAAAGAAGCAGCAAAAGCCAUGAAAAGGAAAAGAAGGACAAAACUAUCUGAAGCCCUGUAAAAAGUCUGAGUCAUUUCUGCUCUAUUUCUUUCCCUACGAAUGGUAAGAGCUGGGGAUUGUGGUAUGUGCCUUUAGUCCUAGCUACUCCGGAGGCUGAGGCAGGAGGAUCACCUGAGCCCAGGACUUUGAGGCCGCUGUAAGCUAUGAUCAUGCCACUGCACUCCAGCUCAGGCAACAGUGAGACCCGGUCUCAACAAACAAAAGAAAAUAAAAGAAUGGUAGACAAGGAAAGCAGUUGAACAGCUAUGCGAGAAGCCUACUUUCUCUUCAUGUAACACGUUGGCCUAAGAGAUCUAUAGAGCUUUUUAAAAACAAAGAAGGCAGCAAGAUUUAAAAUAAUAAAACCAGCAAUAGGUAUUUUUAAAAGUGAGAGAAACUAUCAGAGAGCUGUAGCAGAAAAGCAAGUUAAAAAUAAAGGAAACAGAAAAGGAACUGAUACAGCUGAUUUGAUACUGGAAAAAUCACCCAGGAGGCAGCGUGGACAAUGGAUUGGAGAAGGGCGAACAUUCAGUCAGAGACUUUGCUUACUGUAAAUUAGAGGGAGCAAAUUGGAGGAGAAAUGACAAAAGAAACAGAAAAAAUGUUUAAUCAGACAAAGGAACUAAAAAACCUCAGUCUUAAUUAGAAGAUGGUCAAACAAAUCUCUUAACUGAUGUUCACAAUGAUGGUUUCAAGUCAUCUAAGGAAUGGGAGAAAAUACAACUGGUGAAUUGCAAAGAUAUUAAGAAAUUUUUUUCAUGACCUCCAAAGAAUAAAAUUAUAAAACUUAUUCUUACCUUUUUGUUUCCUGUAAACGUGUGGUAUAUUCCCCUUGUCCCUCACGACAAACUUCUCUAUGAUUUCCUCAAUGGUUAAGGCCCCAAAUGAUACAUUAAAAAAUAUACAUUUGUUUUAUAUUUUCAAAGUAUUCUUAAUCUUUAAUUAGGAACUACACUGAAACUCUGUUGUCAAUGCCCCUACGAAGACUGAAAGAGAUGUGAUGGUUUUAAGACUGGUGCCUAUGGUCAAAAGAAUAUACUGACUGCUUCCAAAUGUCUAUAAAUAAAUUAUGGUUUCUUAAAGGCCCAUGAAAUGAAA